GUGUGGCUGUAUUGAGCACCUGGCAACUAUUAUGGCGGCAUAAUAGAAGAGGCGCCUGGCUUCAUAUACCGGAGCAUCGCACCAACAAACAUCACUUGACGACAGAGAGAAGUCAGCUGAAGCUACCAUGAAGUUUCUCCGAGUCUUGAUGCUCGUGGCGGUGGUGAUGGCCGCGGUGUGUGGGGCCAUGGCUGACCCUGAACCUGAGCCUGAGCCUGAGCCACAGGGAAGCUUCCGCUAUGGUGGAUACGGCGGUUUCGGCCAUCGCCGCUACAGUAAGUAGAGGCGCCACACUAGAGGGCGGCUGGACGACUCCGUGAACGACACCCGCCCGUGAGAACGACCACUGUCAACCACCCACGCCAUUCCUCAACAUCAACGUUUAAUCAUCUAUAACGCCUGAUGACCGUAGUAUCAGGAUAUGCCUGCUAAAUAAAUUUAUUAUACAUAUGUACAGGAAAUUGAAUACAAAUAUUACCUUUUUUGUAAACUGUAAUUAUCAUGUUUAUUGUAAAAUAUUAUUUAACUAAAAAAUAAAUGUUGAAUGUUA
rnacentral:lncRNA from 1 species